CCGUGGCCUUCUGUGACGCGCAGUCCACGCAGGAAAUCCACGAAAAGGUUCUAAACGAAGCCGUGGGUGCCAUGAUGUACCACACCAUCACCCUCACCAGGGAGGACCUGGAGAAGUUCAAGGCCCUGAGAGUGAUUGUGCGGAUAGGCAGCGGCUACGACAACGUGGACAUCAAGGCUGCCGGUGAGCUCGGAAUUGCUGUGUGCAACAUUCCAUCUGCAGCCGUGGAAGAGACGGCGGACUCUACCAUCUGCCACAUCCUCAAUCUGUACCGGAGGAACACGUGGCUGUACCAGGCACUGCGGGAAGGCACGCGGGUUCAGAGCGUGGAGCAGAUCCGCGAGGUGGCCUCGGGAGCGGCCCGCAUCCGUGGGGAGACGCUGGGCCUCAUCGGCUUUGGUACGUGCCACCCUUUGCGCCGACCCCCAAUCCCUCCGACACGGGCUGGUGUAGUGGGGACCCCUUGGGAAAGGCAACCCCAGCCUGCUCUUGAGGCCAGGGCAGGCAGGGCCAGCACCCUCCCCGUGUUGCACGGGGUAGGAGAUCCGAGUCAACACCCAUCAGGGA
rnacentral:sRNA from 1 species